ACUAGAAAAGUUAAAUGGGUCUAACAAGGAGUCUAAAAUUCCUGGGAUGGAGGUUCGAGUCCUCUUUUUAGUA
rnacentral:tRNA from 1 species